rnacentral:rRNA from 1 species
CACGUAGGGGGCGAGCGUUGUCCGGAUUCAUUGGGCGUAAAGGGCGCGCAGGCGGCUCGGAAAGUCGGGUGUGAAAACUCGGGGCUCAACCCCGGGCGUGCAUCCGAUACUGCCGGGCUUGAGGCAGGUAGGGGAGAUCGGAAUUCCUGGUGUAGCGGUGAAAUGCGCAGAUAUCAGGAGGAACACCGGUGGCGAAGGCGGAUCUCUGGGCCGUAACUGACGCUGAGGAGCGAAAGCGUGGGGAGCGAACAGG